AUGCUAUUAGUCUUCAUCUCAGAGUUUGCUUUGUCAGAUGUUGGAGAUGUAAAUCAUGCAACCCAUUCUCCACUUCAAUUACUGAAGUGUAGCCUGAAUUCAGCACCCUGGACAAUUCCAAGGUUUGAAAAGUCUGACAGUCUUCACUUUGACAUACGCCAACAGCUGUGCAAAUCAGAAGCCCUCCCACCCAGGCUUUACAGACUUCCCAAAAUCUACAAGGACUCCAUCUCACUCAGACCCAUUGUAAGUGCCAUUGGAUCACCGACUUACAACCUGGCAAAAUUUCUGGCUACACAGCUACAAACCCACAUUGGUCUCACUGCACACUAUAUCAAGGACUCAACACACUUCAUAGAAAAGAUCAGCAACCUCAAUCUAAGCACCAAGGACAUCCUGAUCAGCUUCGAUGUGGUGUCCCUAUUUACCAAGGUCCCGGUAGCUGACACCCUCACACUAAUCAAACAAAACUUCCCAGAAGACAUCACAGCCCUGUUUCAUCAUUGCCUCACCACUAGCUACUUUCAGUGGGACACUGGAUUCUAUGAACAGAAGGAUGGAGUGGCCAUGGGGAGCCCUCUCAGCCCAGUAGUAGCAAAUUUCUAUAUGGAAUACUUUGAAAAACAGGCCCUAGAAACAGCACCAAAAAAGCCAACUGUUUGGUUCAGAUAUGUAGAUGACACCUUCACAAUUUGGAGCCAUGGAGAGGAAGAACUCAGCAAGUUCCUGGACCAUCUUAACAGCAUCCACCCAAACAUCCAAUUCAGCAUGGAAAAAGAAAAGGAAGGAAAACUGCCAUUUCUAAAUGUUCUGGUCAUCCGCAAACCCAAUCAACAAUUGGGCCACACAGUUUACAGAAAACCUACGCACACAGAUAGAUACCUUCAUAAAAACUCCAACCAUCACCCAAGUCAAAAAAGGAGCACAAUCAAAGCCCUGACAGACCGUGCACAAAGAAUCUGCGAACCUCACCUCCUCCAAGGUGAACUAAACCACCUAAACUGGGCUCUACAGGCCAAUGGAGACUCCACCACAGACAUCAGAAGAGCUGCAAGGCCAAGAAUAAGCCAUGAGAGUCAAGACAAAGAUCCACCCAGAGGAAAGGUGUUCUUACCAUACAUCAAGGGAACCACUGACCGCAUAGGCAAACUGAUGAAGAAGCACAACCUACAAACUAUCUACAGACCCACAAAGAAAAUCCAACAAAUGCUAAGGUCAGCGAAGGACAAGAGGGAUCCUCUCUCUUCUGCAGGAGUCUACCGGAUACCAUGCAGCUGUGGACAAGUCUACAUAGGGACCACCAAACGCAGCAUUGCCCAAACAAGAGUCAAAGAAUAUGAAAGGCACUGCAGACUAACUGAACCAGAGAAAUCAGCCAUAGCAGAGCAUUUGAUGAACCAGCCAGGAUAUUAUUUGAGAACACAGAAAUGCUGGACCAUUCCAACAACUAUCAUGUCAGACUACACAGAGAAGCCAUUGAAAUCCACAAGCAUGUGGACAACUUCAACAGAAAGGAAGAAACCAUGA
rnacentral:lncRNA from 1 species